GCCCCUAAGUCUCACUCACCUUCAGGUGGUUUUUUGCCACAGGUUCUUCCAGAAUUAUGACUCUUAGUGCCGCAGUUCUGACAUUUAUCACUCAGCAGUCCAGUCCAAGGAGCAGAAUAGCAGCUGUGGCCUGUAUCAGAACCUGAAAAAUCCCAAGUUACACAAAGGACAGAACCCUUUUACACUCUUAAAAUUGAGGACCUUAAAGAGCUUCUGCUUAUUACAGUUUUUAUCUAUCAUAUAUCAUAAUAUGCACCCUGUUUUAUACCUGUGGUGAAAAAUCUCCCCCUGUAUUGGAGAAGAGCUAUUAUACAAGUCAGUUGAUGAUGGACUGGUAUAGAGGUCCCCUCCCAGCUCUCAUUUUCUUUGCUUCUGAGAAAUGUUAUGGACAAGUCGGCAGCAACUCUCCCACGUCCUGUGAGCUCACCAGGUGCAGAUUAUGGGUCGUGCUGCAAGGAUGACACAUAGAACUGAGGCCACUGCACGACUGAGUGCAUGGAGUCCUGUGGCUCCCACACAAACAGAGAGACUGGGAUGAUACGGGCGUGGCAUGUUGUCCUCCACACAGAGAUCCCUUCUGCCUGCAUUUCUGAGAGCUUCCCUAUAAGAAACUGCACCCAGCGACAACUUGGCCUGGUAAGAACAGGUCUACCAGAUGUUGAAAGUAAAUCUGGUUUGUUCCCCAGAGGAUAAUAUCUAAUUAUCAUGCACACAUAUGCAAUAUAGAAAUUUGAAGUAUGGAAUUAUAUUUGGAGUUUUCUUCAUA